UAUUAUUUCAUGCAAACAUAAAAUUCAUUUUUGAUCCAAAACCUUUUUCCUCAAGCCAGUGACAAGUACUUCCAAGCUCCUGGCAACACCUGCCAGACAGAGCAGGAGGAAGAGCGAGUUGUCUUCCCUCCCAGAGACCAGGAGAGGCAGCCCAGGUGACAGUUCAAGGCAGCGACGGGGAAGAACACCUCCUGUCCUGGGAAGGAGAGUCUCCAGAGCUGUCUUCUUGGACUGAACGCGGGCCCUGCAAACUGGGCCAGUGUUGGCCGGACCAUGAGGACUCGGUCUUUCAUUCUCAAGGAUUAUGUGGCAUCAGAGAGGCAGUGCUGGCCGGCCCGAGGUUCAUGGCUCAGACCAACAUCCAGCUUUUUAGAAUUGACUCAGUGGUGCUGGCCAGACUCUCCCUUCAGCAAAGGGUCAGUAAUUAGUCCAGGUGGGACAAGGACUUCAAUGUCCCAGAGGAGCAGCCUGGGCCCUCCAGCAGGGGUCUGCCUCCUCCUCCUCCUCCUCCUCUUCCUUCAAACAAUGAACAGCAUGGCCCCUCAUCCAGUUGGUCCUGUUGGUCCUCCCCUCGC